GACGAACGCUGGCGGCGUGCUUAACACAUGCAAGUCGAGCGAAAAGAGGGAAAGAGCUUGCUCUUUCCGGAAUUGAGUGGCAAACGGGUGAGUAACACGUAAACAACCUGCCUUCAGGAUGGGGACAACAGACGGAAACGACUGCUAAUACCGAAUAAGUUCCAAGGGCCGCAUGGCCCAUGGAAGAAAAGGUGGCCUCUACCUGUAAGCUAUCGCCUGAAGAGGGGUUUGCGUCUGAUUAGCUGGUUGGAGGGGUAACGGCCCACCAAGGCGACGAUCAGUAGCCGGUCUGAGAGGAUGAACGGCCACACUGGAACUGAGACACGGUCCAGACUCCUACGGGAGGCAGCAGUGGGGAAUCUUCCGCAAUGGGCGAAAGCCUGACGGAGCAACGCCGCGUGAGUGAUGACGGCCUUCGGGUUGUAAAACUCUGUGAUCCGGGACGAAAAGGCAGAGUGCGAAGAACAAACUGCAUUGACGGUACCGGAAAAGUAAGCCACGGCUAACUACGUG
rnacentral:rRNA from 1 species